rnacentral:misc_RNA from 1 species
GAUGAAGAACGCAGCGAAAUGCGAUAAGUAAUGCGAAUUGCAGAAUUUCCGUGAGUCAUCGAAUCUUUGAACGCACAUUGCGCCCGGUAGUAUUCUGCCGGGCAUGCCUGUUCGAGCGUCAUUUCAACCAUCAAGCCCCAGCGCUUGUGUUGGGGGCCUGCGGCUGCCGCAGCCCCCUAAAAGCAGUGGCGGGCUCGCUAUCACACCGAGUGCAGUAGUUCAUCUUCUCUCCGGUCUUGUGAGGCGGGUUCCGGCCGUGAAACACCCCACUACAUUCAAGGUUGACCUCGGAUCAGGUAGGAAUACCCGCUGAACUUAAGCAUAUCAAUAAGCGGAGGA